UGAUGCAGCAACGCCGCGUGAGGGAUGACGGCCUUCGGGUUGUAAACCUCUUUUAGCAGGGAAGAAGCGAAAGUGACGGUACCUGCAGAAAAAGCGCCGGCUAACUACGUGCCAGCAGCCGCGGUAAUACGUAGGGCGCAAGCGUUAUCCGGAAUUAUUGGGCGUAAAGAGCUCGUAGGCGGUUUGUCGCGUCUGCUGUGAAAUCCGGAGGCUCAACCUCCGGCCUGCAGUGGGUACGGGCAGACUAGAGUGCGGUAGGGGAGAUUGGAAUUCCUGGUGUAGCGGUGGAAUGCGCAGAUAUCAGGAGGAACACCGAUGGCGAAGGCAGAUCUCUGGGCCGUAACUGACGCUGAGGAGCGAAAGGGUGGGGAGCAAACAGGCUUAGAUACCCUGGUAGUCCACCCCGUAAACGUUGGGAACUAGUUGUGGGGUCCAUUCCACGGAUUCCGUGACGCAGCUAACGCAUUAAGUUCCCCGCCUGGGGAGUACGGCCGCAAGGCUAAAACUCAAAGGAAUUGACGGGGACCCGCACAAGCGGCGGAGCAUGCGGAUUAAUUCGAUGCAACGCGAAGAACCUUACCAAGGCUUGACAUAUACGAGAACGGGCCAGAAAUGGUCAACUCUUUGGACACUCGUAAACAGGUGGUGCAUGGUUGUCGUCAGCUCGUGUCGUGAGAUGUUGGGUUAAGUCCCGCAACGAGCGCAACCCUCGUUCUAUGUUGCCAGCACGUAAUGGUGGGAACUCAUGGGAUACUGCCGGGGUCAACUCGGAGGAAGGUGGGGAUGACGUCAAAUCAUCAUGCCCCUUAUGUCUUGGGCUUCACGCAUGCUACAAUGGCCGGUACAAAGGGCUGCAAUACCGCGAGGUGGAGCGAAUCCCAAAAAGCCGGUCCCAGUUCGGAUUGAGGUCUGCAACUCGACCUCAUGAAGUCGGAGUCGCUAGUAAUCGCAGAUCAGCAACGCUGCGGUGAAUACGUUCCCGGGUCUUGUACACACCGCCCGUCAAGUCAUGAAAGUCGG
rnacentral:rRNA from 1 species